GGUUUGUGGCUCAGUGGUAGAGUGCUUGCCUAGAAUUCAUGAGGCACUGGCCUCGAUCCCUGGCACCA
rnacentral:tRNA from 1 species